CUCRUCAACAUUAUCUCUGACGAUGCAAGAGUAAAAAAAAAUGGCGUAGAACGGUGGAGACCGUGGUGCUUGCAAAAAAAUCCAUGGGACCCGUACAACGACUGACGGACGACACCCGGGACAUUAGCAUUUACUGAUGAUUUGUGGCGGCUCGGAUGUCUUUCAUCUCUCUCCAGCUUCUAGACAAGAUCUUCUCUGACAGUGCAACAUCUGAACAUGUACAUCAUUUGACAAAGAUGCAAACUAAAUAGAGUGCCAGACUUGCCAGACGU